UUCAUCACAUUUCAUCACCUGAUUGGUGGCACGAAGAUGAGUUCUUUCUUCCCCUGGUUGGUGGCAUGAAUGGCAAGUUGCCAAAUGAUAUUAGAGUACGGGUUGUACGUUUCAUCACCUGGUUGGUGGCAUGUAGGAGAGUACGGGUUGUACAUUUCAUCACCUAGUUGGUGGCAUGAAGAUGAGUUCCUUUUUCACCUGGUUGGUGGCAUAAGUGGCAAGUUGCCAAAUGAUAUUAGAGUACGGGUUGUACAUUUCAUCACCUGGUUGGUGGCAUGAAUGGCAAGUUGCCAAAUGAUAUUAGAGUAUGAGUUGUACAUUUCAUCACUUGGUUGGUGGCAUGAAGGAGAGUACGGGUUGUACAUUUCAUCACCUGGUUGGUGACAUGAAGUUGGAAGCAUUAUUGUUAAAGCUUUGAA
rnacentral:lncRNA from 1 species